rnacentral:rRNA from 1 species
UACGUAGGGGGCAAGCGUUGUCCGGAUUUAUUGGGCGUAAAGAGCUCGUAGGCGGUUUGUUGCGUCGGCCGUGAAAACCUGCAGCUUAACUGUGGGCCUGCGGUCGAUACGGGCAGACUUGAGUUCGGUAGGGGAGACUGGAAUUCCUGGUGUAGCGGUGAAAUGCGCAGAUAUCAGGAGGAACACCGGUGGCGAAGGCGGGUCUCUGGGCCGAUACUGACGCUGAGGAGCGAAAGCGUGGGGAGCGAACAGG